rnacentral:rRNA from 1 species
GACGAACCGAGCGAACGUUGUUCGGAAUCACUGGGCUUAAAGGGCGCGUAGGCGGGCUGUCAAGUCUGGGGUGAAAUCCCGCGGCUCAACCGUGGAACUGCCUUAGAUACUGACGGCCUCGAGGGAGGUAGGGGCGAGCGGAACUGUGAGUGGAGCGGUGAAAUGCGUUGAUAUUCACAGGAACUCCGGUGGCGAAGGCGGCUCGCUGGACCUCUUCUGACGCUGAGGCGCGAAAGCUAGGGGAGCAAACGGG